ensembl:lncRNA
CAUGAGAGAGAGAGAGAGGAAGCGAAGGGUCGAUUUAUCUUAUAUUGACAGGAGCGGCUUCAAACGAUGACCUUGAGGACUAAUGAGAAUAUUUUCACAUUGCCGAAAAACUUCAGGCUCCCACAACUAUGUGAACCAUCAUGAUCGGUCUGUUAUUGUGGUAUAAUGUAGGCCGCUAUUGAGGGUCAACUUGGAAAAUUACAGAGUCAAUUCCCUGCGGAAGAUCUAGGAGGAGCUGUUUGUUGGGCUGGAGGAACUGCCCUGUGGCGGCUCUUUGAGAGGUUAAGCUGGAGAUUGUCAUUGCCCAAGGUGAACUGGCUUUCAGUGGUAACUGGGUGGAAACUAGAAAGACGAGUUCAGGAUGAGCUCUGCGGCUUGGGCUUGUGCUGUGGUUGAGCUGGUAAACCCAUGAGUCUUUUGUAAAAUGAUUUCAACAAACAAAAAAC